rnacentral:rRNA from 1 species
UACAGAGGGGGCAAGCGUUGUUCGGAAUUACUGGGCGUAAAGGGCGCGUAGGCGGCCUUCUAAGUCGAACGUGAAAUCCCCGGGCUCAACCCGGGAACUGCGUCCGAUACUGGAAGGCUUGAAUCCGGGAGAGGGAUGUGGAAUUCCAGGUGUAGCGGUGAAAUGCGUAGAUAUUGGGAAGAACACCGGUGGCGCAAGCGGCUCGCUGGGCCAUUACUGACGCUGAGGCACGAAAGCGUGGGGAUCAAACAGG